rnacentral:lncRNA from 1 species
UGUGAAGACCCUGUCGGUGUUCUGUCCGACUAUCUAGGUCCAGCCCGAACAUACUCUGCUGUAUACACUUAGGAGGCCCCUCAGUCACGACGUGAAACCCUGGAGUAAUGCCGUAUGUGGUUACGGGCAACAACCACCACCACCCUCUCACUUAACUGUAGGAGUAAAGCAAUUUUAACAAAUCAAAUAAGCAAAAAUUAAUUCUUCUAAUGAGAGUGAAAGUUGCACUUUCCUAGGGUAAUCCUUUAUGGACACCUCACUCAAAAUAUCAGGACAUGUAUCUAUUAUAGGUGCUACUAAGCUUUAGGAUUCACUGCAAAUUUUCCAGUAGGGGCACUGUGAAUCAGUUGGAAAUCAAGAACAG